UAUUCUGCCCUACAGGGAAGGAUGAGAAGCUUCGACUAAGGUUGGACUCGAGCGAAGCGAGAGAACGUUGCCGCAGGCAACGGCCCGAAGGGCGAGGCGCUUUAGCGCCGAGUAAUCCUUC
rnacentral:sRNA from 1 species